rnacentral:rRNA from 1 species
CCUACGGGUGGCUGCAGUGGGGGAUAUUGCACAAUGGGGGGAACCCUGAUGCAGCGACGCCGCGUGGGUGAAGAAGCGCCUCGGCGCGUAAAGCCCUGUCAGCAGGGACGAAAAUGACGGUACCUGAAGAAGAAGCCCCGGCUAACGACGUGCCAGCAGCCGCGGUAAGACGUAGGGGGCAAGCGUUGUCCGGAUUUACUGGGUGUAAAGGGCGUGCAGCCGGGAAGACAAGUCAGAUGUGAAAUCCGGCAGCUCAACCGCGGAACUGCAUUUGAAACUGUUUUUCUUGAGUAUCGGAGAGGUAAUCGGAAUUCCUAGGGUAGCGGUGAAAUGCGUAGAUAUUACGAAGAACACCAGUGGCGAAGGCGGAUUACUGGACGACAACUGACGGUGAGGCGCGAAAGCGUGGGGAGCAAACAGGAUUAGAUACCCUUGUAGUC